rnacentral:rRNA from 1 species
UUUUUUGCAUAUCAAAUAAGCGGAGGAAAAGAAACCAACAGGGAUUGCCUUAGUAACGGCGAGUGAAGCGGCAAAAGCUCAAAUUUGAAAUCGGCCACCAGGUCGAGUUGUAAUUUGUAGAUUGUAUCUUGAGAGCGGAUUAAAGUCUGUUGGAACACAGCGCCUUAGAGGGUGACAGCCCCGUAAAAUCUAUUCUCAUUGUAAGAUACUUUCGAAGAGUCGAGUUGUUUGGGAAUGCAGCUCUAAGUGGGAGGUAAAUUCCUUCUAAAGCUAAAUAUUGACGAGAGACCGAUAGCGAACAAGUACUGUGAAGGAAAGAUGAAAAGCACUUUGAAAAGAGAGUGAAAAAGUACGUGAAAUUGUUAAAAGGGAAGGGUAUUGAAUCAGACUUGGUGCUGUUGUUCAACUGUGUUUCGGCAUAGUGUACUCAGCAGUACUAGGCCAAGGUGGGGUGUUUGGGAGUGAAAAAGAAGUAGGAACGUAACUCUUCGGAGUGUUAUAGCCUACUUUCAUAGCUCCUCAGGCGCCUCAGGACUGCGCUUCGGCAAGGACCUUGGCAUAAUGAUUCUAUACCGCCCGUCUUGAAACACGGACCA